rnacentral:rRNA from 1 species
UGGGGAAUAUUGGACAAUGGGCGGAAGCCUGAUCCAGCAAUGCCGCGUGUGUGAAGAAGGUCUUCGGAUUGUAAAGCACUUUCGACGGGGACGGAUGAUGACGGUACCCGUAGAAGAAGCCCCGGCUAACUUCGUGCCAG